GAUGAACGCUGGCGGCGUGCUUAACACAUGCAAGUCGAACGGUGAAAGAGAGCUUGCUCUCUGGAUCAGUGGCGAACGGGUGAGUAACACGUGAGCAAUCUGCCCCUGACUCUGGGAUAAGCGCUGGAAACGGCGUCUAAUACCGGAUACGAGCUGCGAAGGCAUCUUCAGCAGCUGGAAAGAACUUCGGUCAGGGAUGAGCUCGCGGCCUAUCAGCUAGUUGGUGAGGUAACGGCUCACCAAGGCGUCGACGGGUAGCCGGCCUGAGAGGGUGACCGGCCACACUGGGACUGAGACACGGCCCAGACUCCUACGGGAGGCAGCAGUGGGGAAUAUUGCACAAUGGGCGAAAGCCUGAUGCAGCAACGCCGCGUGAGGGACGACGGCCUUCGGGUUGUAAACCUCUUUUAGCAGGGAAGAAGCGAAAGUGUCGGUACCUGCAGAAAAAGCACCGGCUAACUACGUG
rnacentral:rRNA from 1 species